rnacentral:rRNA from 1 species
GAUGAACGCUGGCGGCGUGCCUAAUACAUGCAAGUCGAGCGAACGGACGAGAAGCUUGCUCCUCUGAUGUUAGCGGCGGACGGGUGAGUAACACGUGGAUAACCUACCUAUAAGACUGGGAUAACUUCGGGAAACCGGAGCUAAUACCGGAUGAUAUUUUGAACCGCAUGGUUCAAAAGUGAAAGACGGUCUUGCUGUCACUUAUAGAUGGAUCCGCGCUGCAUUAGCUAGUUGGUAAGGUAACGGCUUACCAAGGCAACGAUGCAUAGCCGACCUGAGAGGGUGAUCGGCCACACUGGAACUGAGACACGGUCCAGACUCCUACGGGAGGCAGCAGUAGGGAAUCUUCCGCAAUGGGCGAAAGCCUGACGGAGCAACGCCGCGUGAGUGAUGAAGGUCUUCGGAUCGUAAAACUCUGUUAUUAGGGAAGAACAAAUGUGUAAGUAACUGUGCACAUCUUGACGGUACCUAAUCAGAGAGCCACGGCUAACUACGUG